rnacentral:rRNA from 1 species
GGACUAGCCCUUAAGUGGCUUUGAGAUUAGCGGAACGCUCUGGAAAGUGCGGCCAUAGUGGGUGAUAGCCCUGUACGCGAAAAUCUCUUAGUCAUGAAAUCGAGUAGGACGGAGCACGAGAAACUUUGUCUGAAUAUGGGGGGACCAUCCUCCAAGGCUAAAUACUACUGACUGACCGAUAGUGAACUAGUACCGUGAGGGAAAGGCGAAAAGAACCCCGGAGAGGGG